UACAGAGGGUGCAAGCGUUUGUUCGGAAUUAUUGGGCGUAAAGCGCGUGUAGGCGGCAUGGCAAGUCGGGUGUGAAAGCCCUCAGCUUAACUGAGGAAGUGCGCCCGAAACUGCCGUGCUUGAGUGCCGGAGAGGGUGGCGGAAUUCCCCAAGUAGAGGUGAAAUUCGUAGAUAUGGGGGAGGAACACCGGUGGCGAAGGCGGCCACCUGGACGGUAACUGACGCUGAGACGCGAAAGCGUGGGGAGCAAACAGG
rnacentral:rRNA from 1 species